rnacentral:rRNA from 1 species
CCUACGGGGGGCAGCAGUGAGGAAUAUUGGUCAAUGGCCGGAAGGCUGAACCAGCCAAGCCGCGUGAAGGACGAAGGUGCCAAGCAUUGUAAACUUCUUUUGUCAAGGGACAAAAUCAGGCUCGAGAGCCUGACCGAGGGUACUUGAAGAAAAAGCAUCGGCUAACUCCGUGCCAGCAGCCGCGGUAAUACGGAGGAUGCGAGCGUUAUCCGGAUUUAUUGGGUUUAAAGGGUGCGUAGGCGGGCUGUUAAGUCAGCGGUAAAAGCCCGGGGCUCAACCCCGGCGAGCCGUUGAGACUGGCUGCCUUGAGAUGUCGAGAGGUAUGCGGAAUGCGCGGUGUAGCGGGGAAAUGCUUAGAUAUUGCGCAGAACUCCGAUUGCGAAGGCAGCAUACCGGCGGCGAUCUGACGCUGAGGCACGAAAGCGUGGGUAUCGAACAGGAUUAGAUACCCCGGUAGUC